GCAUAUCAAUAAGCGGAGGAAAAGAAACCAACAGGGAUUGCCUCAGUAACGGCGAGUGAAGCGGCAACAGCUCAAAUUUGAAAUCUGGCUCCUUCGGGGUCCGAGUUGUAAUUUGUAGAGGGUGCUUCGAGUGAAGCCCCGGCCCAAGUCCCUUGGAACAGGACGUCAGAGAGGGUGAGAACCCCGUGUCCGGCCGGCGGCGCUCCUCGCGUGAAGCCCCUUCGACGAGUCGAGUUGUUUGGGAAUGCAGCUCUAAAUUGGUGGUAAAUUCCAUCUAAAGCUAAAUACCGGCCAGAGACCGAUAGCGCACAAGUAGAGUGAUCGAAAGAUGAAAAGCACUUUGAAAAGAGAGUCAAAAAGUACGUGAAAUUGUUGAAAGGGAAGCGCUUGCGGCCAGACUUGCCCGCGGAUGUUCAGCCCGUCUUCUGGCGGGUGCACUCUUCCGCGGUCAGGCCAGCAUCGGUUUCGGCGGUCGGACAAAGGCCUUGGGAACGUGGCCCCCCUCGGGGGGUGUUAUAGCCCUCGGUGCAAUGCGGCCAGUCGGGACCGAGGAUCGCGCUCUGCUAGGAUGCUGGCGUAAUGGCCGUAAGCGGCCCGUCUUGAAACACGGACCAAGGAGUCUAACAUCUAUGCGAGUGUUUGGGUGUCAAACCCGUGCGCGUAAUGAAAGUGAACGGAGGUGGGAGCCCUCGGGCGCACCAUCGACCGAUCCUGAUGUCUUCGGAAGGAUUUGAGUAAGAGCAUAGCUGUUGGGACCCGAAAGAUGGUGAACUAUGCCUAGAUAGGGUGAAGCCAGAGGAAACUCUGGUGGAGGCUCGCAGCGGUUCUGACGUGCAAAUCGAUCGUCAAAUCUGGGUAUAGGGGCGAAAGACUAAUCGAA
rnacentral:rRNA from 1 species